rnacentral:rRNA from 1 species
CCCUUAGGUGUUCUGGGCCGCACGCGCGCUACACUGACAGAGCCAACGAGUUCUUUGCCUUGGCCGGAAGGUCUGGGUAAUCUUGUUAAACUCUGUCGUGCUGGGGAUAGAGCAUUGCAAUUAUUGCUCUUCAACGAGGAAUGCCUAGUAAGCGCGUGUCAUCAGCAUGCGUUGAUUACGUCCCUGCCCUUUGUACACACCGCCCGUCGCUACUACCGAUUGAAUGGCUCAGUGAGGCCUUCGGACUGGCUCGGGGAGGUUGGCAACGACCACCCCAAGCCGGAAAGUUCGUCAAACUCGGUCAUUUAGAGGAAGUAAAAGUCGUAACA